UACGGAGGGUGCGAGCGUUGUCCGGAUUUAUUGGGCGUAAAGAGCGUGUAGGCGGCCAGGUAGGUCUGGUGUGAAAACUCGAGGCUUAACCUUGAGAUGUCGGCGGAAACCAUCUGGCUAGAGUCCGGAAGAGGAGAGUGGAAUUCCUGGUGUAGCGGUGAAAUGCGCAGAUAUCAGGAAGAACACCCGUGGCGAAGGCGGCUCUCUGGGACGGUACUGACGCUGAGACGCGAAAGCGUGGGGAGCGAACAGG
rnacentral:rRNA from 1 species